GAGUUUGAUCCUGGCUCAGGAUGAACGCUGGCGGCGUGCCUAAUACAUGCAAGUCGAGCGAACAGAUAAGGAGCUUGCUCCUUUGACGUUAGCGGCGGACGGGUGAGUAACACGUGGGUAACCUACCUAUAAGACUGGAAUAACUCCGGGAAACCGGGGCUAAUGCCGGAUAAUAUUUAGAACCGCAUGGUUCUAAAGUGAAAGAUGGUUUUACUAUCACUUAUAGAUGGACCCGCGCCGUAUUAGCUAGUUGGUGGGGUAAUGGCUUACCAAGGCAACGAUACGUAGCCGACCUGAGAGGGUGAUCGGCCACACUGGAACUGAGACACGGUCCAGACUCCUACGGGAGGCAGCAGUAGGGAAUCUUCCGCAAUGGGCGAAAGCCUGACGGAGCAACGCCGCGUGAGUGAUGAAGGUCUUCGGAUCGUAAAACUCUGUUAUUAGGGAAGAACAAAUGUGUAAGUAACUGUGCACGUCUUGACGGUACCUAAUCAGAAAGCCACGGCUAACUACGUGCCAGCAGCCGCGGUAAUACGUAGGUGGCA
rnacentral:rRNA from 1 species